GAACAAUGUCUGGAAAAUGGUCAAUCUCACUAAGGCAGACGAAGGAUUCUACUUGUUUGUUCGUGAAGACAAAAAAGUUGAGCUAACGAUAAAGCUAUCUAUAAAAGAAGAAACCCAGGAUUAUAAACUGAAGUGAAUGAGAGCCUCUUCAUUAAAUUUCCUGAGCGUGGAGGACCUUGGGAUGUGGUGUUCAAGUCAAAAAAUAAACAAACAGAGGGUGAUGAUCAAAAAUCAACUAGUUUUGGAAGGCACUGGAUUCGAGGGGAGAAAUUACUAUUCAGAAUAAUAGCAUUGAAAUUAAAUCAGUGACAGCAGAAGAUUCUGGAACGUUUAACUUCUAUGACCAACAAGGCAACCUGGCAAUGUCUGUUAAGCUGGAUGUUGACUCUGGAUCUAAUCACCUAG